GGGCUUGUGGCGCAAUGGAAACGCAUCAGACUACGAAUCUGGGGAUUGCAGGUUCGAUCCCUGCCAAGCUCG
rfam:Entamoeba histolytica HM-1:IMSS scf_1104750518723 genomic scaffold, whole genome shotgun sequence.